CCAAUAGCGUAUAUUAAAGUUGUUGCAGUUAAAAAGCUCGUAGUUGAAUUUCGGGGUUCUACCGUUGGUCGGGCUAACCAGUCUGUACUAGCGUGUAAAAUUCCUACCUUCUGGAGAACCAUCAUGUUAUUAAUUUAGCGUGGUGGGAAACCAGGACCUUUACCUUGAAAAAAUUAGAGUGUUCAAAGCAGGCUUACGUCUGAAUACAUUAGCAUGGAAUAAUAGAAUAGGACGGUGGUCCUGUUUUGUUGGUUUCUGAAUCACCGUAAUGAUUAAUAGGGAUAGUUGGGGGCAUUAGUAUUCAAUUGUCAGAGGUGAAAUUCUUGGAUUUAUUGAAGACUAACUUCUGCGAAAGCAUUUGCCAAGGAUGUUUUCAUUAAUCAAGAACGAAAGUUAGGGGAUCGAAGACGAUCAGAUACCGUCGUAGUCUUAACCAUAAACUAUGCCGACUAGGGAUCGGACGAUGUUAAAUUUUAUUGACUCGUUCGGCGCCUUACG
rnacentral:rRNA from 1 species